UCAGCUUGAGCAUAGGGGCGUGAUGGCGCUGGCUUGGUCCGUUCCCGCUAAGUGGGCUAGGGAUUGGGGGAGCUAGCUUAGACACCGCGGCUCUCUUAGGGGAGCUAGGGGAGCAGGCUAAGGGCAUUAACGGCGACCACAAGCGGGAGCUUCAGUUGGCGUGCCUAGAGCCUUUCGAGGCGGCGGACUCGAGGGACAAGGUCGGUUUAGGCCGCUGUUGGGAGACCAAGCUCGAGGAGUCGGUUGCUAGAGCGGCCUCGGGGUUGAAGUGAUGUAGCGGUUGUCUCCUGCGGGGCAAAGCGGGACGGAGUUGGGCUGCAAGGGCUACUGGCGGUCCUGGUGGAGGUGUGGUGGAGUAGAAGCGGCCUCUCGGUGGCCUCCGGAUGCGGGCAUCGACGGCGGCAAAAGGGGACGAAGGCGAACGAGCCUCGCACUGGUCAUCUUGACAGUCCUUAAUACUCACGCUGCUAGAAGUAGUUUGAAUGUCUAAAAUAAGCUGUCAUUCACUAUGCUACAUCCCAAUGCCACAGAUAUGAGCUGUAAACAGAUACCACAACUACCUGAAGUACCUAUAAAAUAAAAGAAAAGGCGAUAUAAAACAACAUACGAUCUAACUCGAUACGUCCAUACAUUAUAAAAUUAAGACUUAGAUACUACAUUAUAAUA
rnacentral:rRNA from 1 species